rnacentral:rRNA from 1 species
CUACGGGUUGCUGCAGUGAGGAAUAUUGCACAAUGGGGGGAACCCUGAUGCAGCAACGCCGCGUGGAGGAUGACGCAUUUCGGUGUGUGAACUCCUUUUAUAUGUCAAGAAAAUGACGGUAGCAUAUGAAUAAGCACCGGCUAACUCCGUGCCAGCAGCCGCGAUAAUACGGAGGGUGCAAGCGUUACUCGGAAUCACUGGGCGUAAAGGACGCGUAGGCGGGUUGGAAAGUCAGGUGUGAAAUCCUACAGCUUAACUGUAGAACUGCACUUGAAACUUCUAAUCUAGAGUAUGGGAGGGGGAGAUGGAAUUAGUGGUGUAGGGGUAAAAUCCGUAGAUAUCACUAGGAAUACCUAAGGCGAAGGCGAUCUCCUGGACCAUUACUGACGCUAAGGCGUGAAAGCGUGGGGAGCAAACAGGAUUAGAUACCCGCGUAGUC